rnacentral:rRNA from 1 species
CGCGUAGGCGGUUCGAUAAGUCGGGUGUGAAAGCCCCGGGCUUAACCUGGGAAUUGCAUUCGAUACUGUCGGGCUGGAGUAUGGUAGAGGAAAGCGGAAUUCCACAUGUAGCGGUGAAAUGCGUAGAUAUGUGGAGGAACAUCAGUGGCGAAGGCGGCUUUCUGGACCAAUACUGACGCUGAGGCGCGAAAGCGUGGGGAGCAAACAGGAUUAGAUACCCUGGUAGUCCACGCCGUAAACGAUGAGAACUAGGUGUUGGGAGGCAUGACCUCUUAGUAUCGAAGCUAACGCGAUAAGUUCUCCGCCUGGGGAGUACGGCCGCAAGGUUAAA